AUGUAAAUUUUUGUGCGAAUUUUUAUUUAUUUUAAUAAUAAUUUAAAUUUUAUUAUAAUCUCAGUAAUUAAUAUUAUUAAUCAAAGAAAUUUGGAUAUAGUAAUUUUAUUAAGUAUUGGUUAAAUUUGUGCCAGCAGCCGCGGUUAUACAAAUAAUACAAAUAAAAUUUGUUUGGUGGAAGUUAAUUUUUUUUUAAAAGAAAUAAAUAUAAAUUUAUUAGGUGAAAUUUUAAAUUUAUAAAUUUUUAUCAGGAUUUAAUGAAGCUUGUAAAUUUUAAUUAAAAACUAGGAUUAGAUACCCUAUUAUUUAAAAUGUAAUAAUGAACACUUAGGUAGUAUUAGUUAUGUUCUUGAAACUUAAAAAAUUUGGCGGUAUUUUAGUCUAUUCAGAGGAACCUGUCCUAUAAUUGAUAAUCCACGAUGUACCUCACUUGAAUUUGUUUUUCAGUUUAUAUACCGUCGUUAUCAGAAUAUUUUAUUAGAAUAAUAAUUUUCAAUAAUUUAAAUUAAAAUUUAUAUCAGAUCAAGGUGUAGCUUAUAUUUAAGUAGAGAUGGGUUACAAUAAAUUUAUUUAAACGAAUUUAAUUUUUAAAUAUUUUAAUGAAGGUGGAUUUGAUAGUAAAAAUUAAAAGAUUGUAGUUUUGAUUUUAGCUCUAAAAUAUGCACACAUCGCCCGUCACUCUUACUAUUAAGGUAAGAUAAGUCGUAACAUAGUAGAUGUA
rnacentral:rRNA from 1 species